UCCACCAAAUAAAGCCGCCGCGGUCGCCACCAAACCAUCGUCGGCGGAUCCGUUCGUCGUAUUCAUCGCUCUCUUCGAGGGUCAGGUUGGCGGCGUAGUGGGAGAUGGACGCGUGGACGAGCGUGGUGGAAGGGAGAUGAGAGGGAGGGCAAGAUGCGAACGAUCUGCGACGUCUGCGAGAACGCCCCGGCUAUCCUGUUCUGUGCCGCCGACGAGGCUGCCCUGUGCCGGCCCUGCGAUGAGAAGGUUCACAUGUGUAACAAACUUGCUAGCCGGCAUGUACGAGUAGGACUUGCUGACCCUAGUGAAGUUCCUCAUUGUGACAUAUGUGAAAAUGCACCUGCCUUCUUUUAUUGUGAGACAGAUGGAAGUUCCUUAUGCUUGCAUUGUGAUAUGGCUGUGCAUGUUGGAGGAAAGAGAACCCAUAGAAGAUAUCUAUUGCUGAGGCAAAGGGUUGAGUUUCCAGGCAAUAGAUCCAGUCAUAUGGAAGAGCUUAAAACAAAAGCCAAGGACUUUGAUGAACAUAGGAGGGAUCACAAAAUGGUGAUGACAGAGAAAAUGACUAAUCGCAAACUCUCUGCUGAUCCUGCCUUAGAUGCUACCAACAAUCAUGAUGGCAAAAUGGAUUCAAAUAUGAUUGAUCUCAACACAAGACCUGUUCGAAUUCAUGAGCAAGCUUCCAAUACACAGGCUCAGCAAAUGGAUCUUGCCAGUGAUAAUAAUCAUGACGCUCCAGGUGUGGUUCCUACUGGUCCCUUCCAGAACAGUGGGUAGAAGUGAUGCACAUCUCAUGCUCUUGGUUUGCACAAGCAAAGCUUUCCAUGAAUCAUAAAGGCAUGAAGGAGGCUCAACAGGAUGACUGAGAGGAUGAGUUACUGUGGGGAGCAGCAUGGCUCAGAAGGGCCUCAAGAAACGAUUCCUUCCUCAAUUACAUCCAAAACAAUGGCAAAACUCUUGGAGCAGAUGACAACAUCAAUGAGUUCGGAUGGGACAACAAGCAUGCC